UUAAGUUAAUAAGGGCGCACGGUGGAUGCCUUGGCACUAGAAGCCGAUGAAGGACGUGACUAACGACGAAAUGCUUUGGGGAGCUGUAAGUGAGCAAUGAUCCAGAGAUGUCCGAAUGGGGGAACCCGGCAGGUAAUGCCUGUCACUCAUUACUGUUAAGGUAAUGUAGAGGAAGACGCAGUGAACUGAAACAUCUAAGUAGCUGUAGGAAGAGAAAGCAAAAGCGAUUGCCUUAGUAGCGGCGAGCGAAACGGCAAGAGGGCAAACCGAAGAGUUUACUCUUCGGGGUUGUAGGACUGCAACGUGGACUUAAAGAUUAUAGAAGAACUACCUGGGAAGGUAGGCCAAAGAGAGUAAUAGCCUCGUAUUCGAAAUAGUCUUUAUACCUAGCAGUAUCCUGAGUACGGCGAGACACGAGAAAUCUCGUCGGAAUCUGGGAGGACCAUCUCCCAACCCUAAAUACUCUCUAGUGACCGAUAGUGAACCAGUACCGUGAGGGAAAGGUGAAAAGCACCCCGGGAGGGGAGUGAAAUAGAACCUGAAACCGUGUGCCUACAACAAGUUCGAGCCCGUUAAUGGGUGAGAGCGUGCCUUUUGUAGAAUGAACCGGCGAGUUACGAUAUGAUGCGAGGUUAAGUUGAAGAGACGGAGCCGUAGGGAAACCGAGUCUUAAUAGGGCGCAUUAGUAUCAUGUCGUAGACCCGAAACCAUGUGACCUACCCAUGAGCAGGUUGAAGGUGAGGUAAAACUCACUGGAGGACCGAACCAGGGCACGUUGAAAAGUGCUUGGAUGACUUGUGGGUAGCGGAGAAAUUCCAAACGAACUUGGAGAUAGCUGGUUCUCUCCGAAAUAGCUUUAGGGCUAGCGUCGAUGUUAAGUCUCUUGGAGGUAGAGCACUGUUUGGGUGAGGGGUCCAUCCCGGAUUACCAAUCUCAGAUAAACUCCGAAUGCCAAUGAGAUAUAAUCGGCAGUCAGACUGCGAGUGCUAAGAUCCGUAGUCGAAAGGGAAACAGCCCAGACCACCAGCUAAGGUCCCAAAAUAUAUGUUAAGUGGAAAAGGAUGUGGGGUUGCACAGACAACUAGGAUGUUAGCUUAGAAGCAGCUAUUCAUUCAAAGAGUGCGUAAUAGCUCACUAGUCGAGUGACCCUGCGCCGAAAAUGUACCGGGGCUAAAACAUAUUACCGAAGCUGUGGAUACCUUUAUAGGUAUGGUAGGAGAGCGUUCUAUGUGCGAAGAAGGUGUACCGUGAGGAGUGCUGGAGCGCAUAGAAGUGAGAAUGCCGGUAUGAGUAGCGAAAGACAGGUGAGAAUCCUGUCCACCGUAAGACUAAGGUUUCCAGGGGAAGGCUCGUCCGCCCUGGGUUAGUCGGGACCUAAGGAGAGACCGAAAGGUGUAUCCGAUGGACAACAGGUUGAUAUUCCUGUACUAGAGUAUAUAGUGAUGGAGGGACGCAGUAGGCUAACUAAACCAGACGAUUGGAAGUGUCUGGCCAAGCAGUGAGGUGUGAUAUGAGUCAAAUGCUUAUAUCUUUAACAUUGAGCUGUGAUGGGGAGCGAAGUUUAGUAGCGAAGUUAGUGAUGUCACACUGCCGAGAAAAGCUUCUAGCGUUAAUUAUACUCUACCCGUACCGCAAACCGACACAGGUAGUCGAGGCGAGUAGCCUCAGGUGAGCGAGAGAACUCUCGUUAAGGAACUCGGCAAAAUGGCCCCGUAACUUCGGGAGAAGGGGCGCUGACUGAUGGUCAGCCGCAGUGAAUAGGCCCAAGCAACUGUUUAUCAAAAACACAGCUCUCUGCUAAAUCGUAAGAUGAUGUAUAGGGGGUGACGCCUGCCCGGUGCUGGAAGGUUAAGAGGAGUGCUUAGCGUAAGCGAAGGCAUGAAUUGAAGCCCCAGUAAACGGCGGCCGUAACUAUAACGGUCCUAAGGUAGCGAAAUUCCUUGUCGGGUAAGUUCCGACCCGCACGAAAGGCGUAAUGAUUUGGGCACUGUCUCAACGAGAGACUCGGUGAAAUUUUAGUACCUGUGAAGAUGCAGGUUACCCGCGACAGGACGGAAAGACCCCAUGGAGCUUUACUGCAGUUUGAUAUUGAGUAUCUGUACCACAUGUACAGGAUAGGUAGGAGCCUAUGACCUCGGGACGCCAGUUUCGAGUGAGGCGUUGUUGGGAUACUACCCUUGUGUUAUGGCUACUCUAACCCAGAUAGGUUAUCCCUAUCGGAGACAGUGUCUGACGGGCAGUUUGACUGGGGCGGUCGCCUCCUAAAAGGUAACGGAGGCGCCCAAAGGUUCCCUCAGAAUGGUUGGAAAUCAUUCGCAGAGUGUAAAGGUAUAAGGGAGCUUGACUGCGAGAGCUACAACUCGAGCAGGGACGAAAGUCGGGCUUAGUGAUCCGGUGGUUCCGCAUGGAAGGGCCAUCGCUCAACGGAUAAAAGCUACCCUGGGGAUAACAGGCUUAUCUCCCCCAAGAGUUCACAUCGACGGGGAGGUUUGGCACCUCGAUGUCGGCUCGUCGCAUCCUGGGGCUGUAGUAGGUCCCAAGGGUUGGGCUGUUCGCCCAUUAAAGCGGCACGCGAGCUGGGUUCAGAACGUCGUGAGACAGUUCGGUCCCUAUCCGUCGCGGGCGUAGGAAAUUUGAGAGGAUCUGCUCCUAGUACGAGAGGACCAGAGUGGACUUACCGCUGGUGUACCAGUUGUUCUGCCAAGAGCAUCGCUGGGUAGCUAUGUAGGGAAGGGAUAAACGCUGAAAGCAUCUAAGUGUGAAGCCCACCUCAAGAUGAGAUUUCCCAUGAUUUUAUAUCAGUAAGAGCCCUGAGAGAUGAUCAGGUUGAUAGGUUAGAAGUGGAAGUGUGGUGACACAUGUAGCGGACUAAUACUAAUAGCUCGAGGACUUAUCCAA
rnacentral:rRNA from 1 species